rnacentral:lncRNA from 1 species
CAGCAUGUUACUGAAUUUGUUCAUCUACCAAACCAACAUCUAAAAGAGGUAAAAACCACAAACUAAUUAACUGUAACCUUGUAGUAACUAACAGCUUGAACCAAUACGAUCAAAACCCUAACAAAGGGAGUCUUUCAUCUCACCAAGGACUAUCUUAUGACAGUCCACACCAAACACAUGACAGAAAGAUUCAAUCCCCAAAUAAAAUCAAAAUGACAAAACCUAAAGUCUAGAUACAAACUGAAUACACAUUUUAAUAUUCAUGGCAUAAGUAAAUACAAUGAAUGAUGUAAUGAAACAUAAACUGAUGCAUAACUAAGACAAGUUUAGUAAUACACAUAGGUAUUCAGCCAGACUAAGAUCUACAUCUCCAACAAUGCUUGAGAUUCAAACUUCAUAUAUUGAUAAAAGGUCCAAAGAGGUACCUGGUUACAGCAACAAAAUAACAAAAAAAUGAGCUUGAGAUUAAGAAAAGGACAGCAACAGUGUAUCAGCAAACAGCAGCACAACCCACAGUCAGUUUUAUACCAUUUUUGAACCCAGAUUAACAUAAUUCUUUCGCGUUAUCAAUAGAAUCUGACUAACAGAGUAAGUCUAAGAGCCAAACCAAACAAAUUUCAAGCAAACUUCAAUAUUUUCAGAAUCUCAAAAAUGCUCCAGCCAUUUCUAAGUUUUUCAACCUUUUUAAUCUCUAAUCUCUCAAAUGAAAGAGAAGGGCAACGAGCCUCUUAUAUAGGACCUCUAGGGGAGCAGAAAUGAUUCUAUUAUUUUCCAAUUGCCCCUUUCCCAAUUUUCAUUUUUUAAGUUAAAUCCCUGAAUUUUUAGCCUGCUUGCUAAGUUAAUCCCAAAUCCCACCUUCCAGGUAGCUUCCUAAUCAGUUAUACAAGAUUCCCCUAAACUAAAAACCCUAAACUAUCCUUUAGGCUUAUGCUAUUUACAUUCAAGACCACAUAUGGAUCGGGUUGACCCCAAGACCCAAAGCCUGGCUUGCAAGACCCGGACUGACCCUCCUCUUUGGGCCUCUAUUGACAGAGCCCAAAUUGAUUCCAGAAACCAACAAAAACCCAAGGAAAUGGCCAAUCAGAGUUAUAUGAACUCCUAGAACCAAGGAUUCCAAAUAAAUCAAAAAUAGGAGGGAAACUUGAGCGAAACCAAACGAUGCUGACUAAAAGAAAAAUAAUCUAAAAUUAACAAGCAUGAUUUGAGAAACAGAAAAAUAAGAAAGAAAAAGGAAAGAAUCAGACGAAGCUGAGAAUGAAAUUCAAACAAAAAACAAAGGACCUGAAAUACCUGAAAGAGACAGAAAGAUGAUGGGUUUGAGCGGACUAUUCGGCGCUUUCGAUUUGAACCAAAAAUGAGUGUUAGUCGGGAUGUUCUGGUGAGAACAACCAUCUAACACUUGUUUCAAGUCAAAAUCUCUUCCACGCUUUGGAGAAAAUCAAACCAGGCCUUUUGCAUGAGGAAUCAAAGGUGGGAACGAAUCUAGGGUGCCAUUUAAGAUCUGAAAUUGGAGAAAAAAUAGAGGGGACUUUGGGGAAAUUGACGGUGGUUUAGUGUUUGAGGGAUUAUGGGGACUGUGUGGUGACGUUUUGGGAGGAUUUAGAGGUCAAACGCCAGUGGGGAAUGGCAGAAUUUGGAGGCGGCGUUAGGGCUUGGACGAAGGAGGUAAGAGAGACAGAAGAGGGGUGUUUGGCUUAAGUUGUCUUUAGGGCUUUCGGACAGUUAUAAGCAAAUAUGGGGUAAGUGGUCU